CCCACACUCACGGUCUUGCUGAUUGCACCUGGCUCCUACCUGGAGGACUCAGCUGUUCUGUUUAUAUCGUGGUGGCGCCUCUCACCCUGACCACACAAAGAUUCUGGAGAGUUCUGGAGAAUGUAUAUAUAUCCUUGUGGUUCAAGUCCCUCUUCACAAGAACUCCAAAGCUGGAAAGCAGGAGGGAACAGGUGAAAAUGAAGGCCAGGAUGCUGGGGCCCUCGGGACUGCCCACGGCCUGCUGGGGGCUGCUCUUCUCCGGCCCGGGAAAGUGGGGCAGCUGGGACCUGCGGCUGUGCCUGGACUGAAGCUGUCCUGCAGGUCCCCACCCUCCAGCACGAGCUCACCUGCCCCCUCCUCACAGCAACCUCGGGACAAAACAAUGACUCAAGGACAGCACUUCCUGCAGAAGGUCUGGAAGUGCCCAGAAUGGGAGGCUGGGAAGCCCCUCCUGGGGAGAACUCCCCCAUCGAUGGACCAUUCUUGGUGCAGACUCCUGACUGCAUGCAUGGAACCUUAGACAAGUGAGCAUCCGUCCACGUCGCCCCAGAGUGCCCAGGAGGCAGGCAGCGCAGGGCGCCCAGGCAGACAGGUUCAGCCUGCAGGACUGUGACCUGUGAAACCCCCCCGGGCACCCCAACAGGAGCAGAAGCGAGGUCCCGCGGCCGCGUCCACAGCGAGUUCCACUUUCCCCUUGCUCGCUUCUGCCUUGUUGGAAGUGUUUACAACUGGAUGUGAUUUUAUAAUACAACGUCAGGUAAGAGGAGAACAGCUGUUGUGCGUUAGUCCUGGUGAGUGACCAUGUGAGGGAAGCCUGGGCGAGGCGCUCGGAGGGCAGUGGCUGGACAGGGGCUCCUGGUGGGGCCUGGACAGCACUGAUUUGUGGAUGUGGAUGGGACACAUACGUGAUAAAAGUACAAGUGCCUCUCGCCACCCUUGGGGAUUGCUCUCCAGUACCCUUUGUGGCCCUGGGCCGCAAACCACACAGUCUUGGCCCUGAACUCCCCCAGUGAGUAAGGGCUCUGGCCCGGUGGUGUCUUGAGGUCCUGUUAGUACACGGGGCCCUACAAGGUGCACAGCCCACUGGGGCAGAGCUGGGCCUGUUCGGAGACACACCUGGACCUUCUUAGGGCCCUGGCUUCGUCCUACAAAUGAGGAGCUCUGGAAAAGGACAAAGUCCCGGAGGCUGAGAGGUGGGGCGGGCUCCCAGUGCCCGGCAGGGACCUAGACCCUGAGUUCCCGGGGGGUCCACAGGGCCCUCAGGCCCAGGGAAGGCUCUCCCACCAGUGAUUUCCAAACUUCCCUCCCUGUCCCCCAUCCAGGGCUGCAGGGACUUGGCCCAGGCACCAUGGGCUGCUGGUAUCUGAGUGGACCUUGAAGACCAAGAUGCCCCCAAGCCCUACCCCACCCACCUGCUGCGUCCCUAGGCGGCGGGGCCUUCCUCGCAUCCCCACAGCCCGUUUCCCGCUCUCCCCGGGGUCCUCUGACUGACCGCCGGACGUCAGGCCCCGAGUGUGGCA
rnacentral:lncRNA from 1 species